rnacentral:rRNA from 1 species
UACGGAGGGUGCAAGCGUUGCUCGGAAUUAUUGGGCGUAAAGGGUAGGUAGGUGGUCUCGUUUGUCUGGGGUGAAAGCCUUGAGCUUAACUCAAGAAGUGCCCCAGAAACGGCGAGACUGGAGUCUUGGAGAGGGUCGUGGAAUUCCCGGUGUAGCGGUGAAAUGCGUAGAGAUCGGGAGGAACACCAGAGGCGAAAGCGGCGACCUGGACAAGUACUGACACUCAACUACGAAAGCGUGGGGAGCAAACAGG